rnacentral:rRNA from 1 species
GACGAACGCUGGCGGCGUGCUUAACACAUGCAAGUCGAACGGGAUUUAGUAGACAGAAGCCUCGGCUAAAGAUUACUAAUGAGAGUGGCGAACGGGUGAGUAACGCGUGAGCAACCUGCCUAUGACAGUGGGAUAGCCUCGGGAAACCGGGAUUAAUACCGCAUAAAAUCGUAGAAACACAUGUUUCAACGGUCAAAGAUUUAUCGGUCAUAGAUGGGCUCGCGUCUGAUUAGCUAGUUGGUGAGAUAACAGCCCACCAAGGCGACGAUCAGUAGCCGGUCUGAGAGGAUGAACGGACACAUUGGAACUGAGACACGGUCCAAACUCCUACGGGAGGCAGCAGUGGGGAAUAUUGCACAAUGGGGGAAACCCUGAUGCAGCGACGCCGCGUGAACGAAGAAGGUAUUCGUAUCGUAAAGUUCUGUCCUAUGGGAAGAUAAUGACAGUACCAUAGAAGAAAGCUCCGGCUAAAUACGUG